rnacentral:rRNA from 1 species
AACCUGGUUGAUCCUGCCAGUAGUCAUAUGCUUCGUUCAAGGACUAAGCCAUGCAUAUCUCAGCGCACACGGACGUGGACAGUGGAUCUGUGAAUGGCUCCUUACAUCAGCAGUCGUCUCCGCGAAAGAGUGUGGCCGGCGCCCAGAACUUCUGGCGCCCAAUGGGACAUCCUCCAAAACCUGGUGGCUAAUACACGUUCGCAAGGGUCUGCCGCGGCAAACCUGCCGGACCCCGCGGCCCGUCCGCGGGGAGCCCCGCAGGUGGUGGAUCGCACCCAGCCGUUUGUAAGACCAGCGCCAGUCCAAUGGCAGUGUGCUUCUCGGUUGACUCAGGCUGGCCCCUCCGCGGGACGCCGGCGCUGGCAGGAGUGGUGGCGGGCCUCCCCGCGGGGUCCGCCACGGCAUGCUUGAUCGCACGAACCUCUGACCUAUCAGCUCGGGACUGUGGCGCAAGGGCCCACAGUGGCGGCAACGGGUGACGGAGAAUUCGGGUUCGAUUCCGGAGAGGGAGCCUGAGAGACGGCUGCCACUACCAAGGUGGGCAGCAGGCGCGCAAAUUGCCCAAUACAGAAGCAUUGUGUGAGGCAGCAACGAACAGCAGCAAUCCCGCCGGCGAUUCCGUCCGGCGGGACUUGGAAUGGAUGCAACCCAAACACCGUGAUGAGUACCAACUGGAGGGCAAGUCUGGUGCCAGCAGCUGCGGUAAUUCCAGCUCCAGCGGCGUAUACUAACAUUGCUGCGGUUGAAACGUUUGUAGUCGGCCCCUGGGGCCUGGUCUGCCGGGCGGCCACGCGGUCCCGGUCCCUCCCCGCGGGUCCCCGGUGUCUGCCGCCUCCGGGCGGCCUCCGGGUCGGCCCGCGCUGGGUCGGGGCCGCUGGAACACAACCCCCGGCAGUGACGGUCCAGGUCCCGCACUCAGAUGGUCCUGAUCAGCCCCUGUGUGAAGUCCCCUUCAGUGGGGAUCGAACCGGUUCGUGCAGAACACGCAUGCUUGGACGCCCCCGGGGGUGCGGCCCCGUGCCGCACACCACCGCCCCGGGUCCGCCACCGGGGUCAACCCUCGCUGUCACCGUGGAAAACCCAGUGUGCCCAAAGCAACCAGAACUGGCUGAAUGCUCCUCCGUGGUAUGUCGUCGCACCGACUGGAUGCGAGCCCCGCAAGGGGCUCCCGGCGAGAGAUUUGUUGUGCUGGCCUUGGCGCCCAUCCCCAGGCAACACGGCGCCGUCCCCCGGACGGCCCCACGCCCGGCCGGACCGCCCGUGCGCCGUGGCAAACCGCGGCCCCCUCGGGGGCGCCAGCGGGGCCCGCGCGCCCGUGGCGGCCCCCCGACCGGGCUGCUUGGAGCCCCCGGCUGGUGGCGGCGCUCGACGCCGCCAAGGGGACCGUUCAGGGUGCAAGGAACUGCAACGCCAGAGGUGAAAUUCUUAGACCGCUGCAAGGCCGACAGCGGCGCAGGCGUUUCCCUGCUGGCAAGGCCGCGUUCAUCGAUCAAGAGCGAGAGCCUGGGGAUCGAAGAGGAUCAGACACCCUCGUAGUCCAGCGCCGUAAACCAUGCCGGCUCGGCAACGGCCGGGAAGGUUUCCCAACCCGGUCGGAGCCACGCCCCCUGCAACGAGAAAUCCAAGCCUUUGGGUUCCGGGGGGAGUACCGUCGCAAGGCUGAAACUUAAAGGAAUUGACGGAAUGGCACCACAAGGUGUGGAGUAUGCGGCUUAAUUUGACUCAACACGGGGAAUGUUACCAGGUCAGGACGUUGUCUGGAUGGACAGAUUGAGAGCUCUUUCUUGAUCCUUCGGAUGGUGGUGCAUGGCCGCUCCUGAUUGGUGGAGUGAUUUGUCUGGUUGAUUCCGAUAACGAGUGAGAUAUCUACCUCCCACUGGCACCGGUCUCGCACAGCCACUCGUUGGCGUCGGGUUUUGGCCGCGGCCCCCGCCACGUCGGGUGGGACAUCCCCAUCCGUCGCGGGGCCGCACCCCAGGCCACCCGAGAGGCCCCCGGUAUUCGACUUCCUCUGAGGCGCUGUGUCCGCCACAAAGGGCAAGCAUGCUAGAGCCAACAGCAGGUCUGUGAUGCUCCCAGAUGUCCUGGGCCGCACGCGCACUACAUUGACUCAGUGAAGGUGUUGACCCUCGCCUUUCCGUCGAGGCCUGCCCCGAAGGGGGUGGGAAACCCUGCAAGCCCGAGCCGUACUGGGGAUAGAUGAUUGCAACUGUCUGCCUUGAACGAGGAAUACCUAGUAUGCGUGGGUCAUCAGCCCACACAGACUGCGUCCCUGCCAUUUGUACACACCGCCCGUCGUUGCUACCGAUGGCAUCUGGAUAGAGCCAUCAGGAGGCCUCCCCCGCAGGGGGACCACCACGCCCCGCGGUUUCCCUCGCGGGGCCGCGGGGGGUGCCGCCCGGGACCGUCGAAAUUGGGCAAUGUCCUGCUGCUAGAGGAAGCAAAAGUCGUAACAAGGUUGCUGUAGGUGAACCUGCAGAAGGAUCAA